AUACGUAGGGUGCAAGCGUUAAUCGGAAUUACUGGGCGUAAAGCGUGCGCAGGCGGUUUUGUAAGACAGUGGUGAAAUCCCCGGGCUCAACCUGGGAACUGCCAUUGUGACUGCAAGGCUGGAGUGCGGCAGAGGGGGAUGGAAUUCCGCGUGUAGCAGUGAAAUGCGUAGAUAUGCGGAGGAACACCGAUGGCGAAGGCAAUCCCCUGGGCCUGUGCUGACGCUCAUGCACGAAAGCGUGGGGAGCAAACAGGAUUAGAUACCCUGGUAGUCCACGCCCUAAACGAUGUCAACUGGUUGUUGGGUCUUCAUUGACUCAGUAACGAAGCUAACGCGUGAAGUUGACCGCCUGGGGAGUACGGCCGCAAGGUUGAAACUCAAAUGAAUUGACGGGG
rnacentral:rRNA from 1 species